UUAAAAACCUUCAAUGAUGGUCAUUAAAUAUAUUUUUUGCAAAAUACAGGGGUGCUAACCUGAGGGGGUUUUUUUACCAAAUUCCAAAUUGAGUGCUGGGGAGGGGAGAAGAGGGAGUGAACUUUGCCAAUUUAAAAUUCAGAAUGAAUUUAGAUAUGCAAACUCUAAUCACUCAGGGUGAAAUUUGGUUAAUAUAAUAUCCCUCCUGAAAGCUAUCACUUAUAGAAUAGCUAUAGGAUGCUGACAUAGAAUGGCUGCAUUUUAUCAUUUGUGAGUCAUGUAAGCUCUGUAUAGUAUGUAUAGUCUGAAAGGGACUAUGAGACACUUGCUAUGAAUUAGGGAUUAUUAUUUUCAACUAACCAUUUUCUGUUCUGCUUUCCCUUUCUGAAUUUAUUGUUUUUGUUAUGUUUGCUUUGGCAUUCAUGUUUGAUGGUCCAGGGCCACAUGGUGAAUUUAGUUAUUAACCAAACUGCUCCUUGCACAGAUGGUACAAUCCAUUAAACAUACUCAAGACCUAUUGCUGGAUCAUUCCCUGAUUUUUUUA